ACCUGGCUGGCUCAGUUGGUAGAGCACGGGACUCUUGAUCUUGGGGUCAUGAGUUCAAGCCCCAAGAUGGGGA
rnacentral:tRNA from 1 species